ensembl:lncRNA
UGCAGCUUUUCUCUUUGCAGAGGAAGGCAGAGCUCUCUCUGCAUUGGACCGUAUGUAGUAAAUCUGCUGAAUGACUGUGAUGGAUUUAAAAUAAUUGUAAUGUAGUAUACCAAGGUACUGUUUGCAUUUGGAAUUGCAGGUCACUUUUCCUUCUGUACAGGGGAACACAUUGCAAGCGAAUGAGUAAUUCUGAGAACAGUAAUUCUAAGACAUUUGCAGAUACCAAGUGGUUUCCUGGAAUAACAGGCACUCUCAAGAGAAACGUCAGACCCGUUUAAUCAGUCACAUUUAGAGCUCUGCGACAUCUGCAAGUGAAUUAUUAAUGAUCUCAAAUGUUUUAGAUUUAUCCAAAAGUCAGGAAUAACGUGGCCCUUCAGAUGAUCAGCUCUGAUUCAAGGCUUAUCCUUUCUACUCUAGGCACUAGAGACACUGCAGCUGCUUGCUGCCGCUGACUGCCGUUCCCCGUUUGCCACCGCGGCUGCACCCCUCUGUAGGCACUGAGAGCUGAACAAAUGCAAAGUGCAGCUGGCAUCCAGCUGCAUCUAUAUAGUUACCAUCUAUCUGAUAAAUAGCCUCUGAUCAGUGCGCUACGGGUUGAGCUACCUUAAGGGAUGCUCCAGGGACCCCCAUUCCCGUAUGGCGCCCGUCUCUACAAACGACUGCUGUCCGCAAACAUCCUCCACGUUUGCACCGAAGUCGUGGAAGAUUGUCCUAGGCUCAGCGUCUCUUUUCUUGUUUAUGAAAAUGAAGAACUGCAAACAACAAAGUCCCUAAAGGCGUGUACACCUUGUAAGUGAGAUGUUCUUAUAAAAAGAGGCAUAGUUACUCAUGCUGAGGUCUGGAUUUUCCUAAGAUUGCUACGUCAACAGAAGCCUAACCUACUGGCACGCCCUUGCUCAGCCUCCUGUGCCAGACUGCCACCGGCUCCUUUCUCCAUGCGAGAGAUUUGAGAGGAGAAGUGCUCGAGACAAAGUCCCCUAGACAAAGUCCUGGUCAUAUGGCUGUCCUCUGUGCUUAGAAGAAUAUGAACUAAAAGGGAAGAUUAGAGAAGAGGAAUGUUGCAGGAAAGGUUUUAUCCUCCAUAGCUCCCUUUGCAUGUCAUGAAAGAAGGCAGAAGAAGGCAAGAGGGGCCUUUCCACAUUGCAUCUGCUUUGAGGCAUGGCUUUAUUUUCUUCUUAUACACACUGAAAGCAUCUGUCCUCCUUUACAUAUGCUUGUGUAAGGCUUAAAGAAGUUCCAGUUCUUUGGAUCCAAAAUCAUUCUUGUAUCCAAAACAUUAACCCAGCUCUCCUUGAGUAAGAUCCAGGAGGCAGUGCCUAUGGCAAACGACUCCCAGGAGCUUUGGUUGGGAGAGUGCCUACGUAGCCCAGUGAAAGGGAGGGCUACAGGCUGAGGUAGGAGGGAAAUGAAACUAAUGACCUUAAAACUAUUUAUUUCUGCUAUUUGGAGCACACCAUUAAUCAUGCUGAAUUGUGUUUCUUUUGCGUGGCAUCUCAUCUGGGCCUUGGUCCUCCACACAUCUUGUAAACAAAGGUAUGUUAUUGCCUGGUAAUACUUUCAAGAAAUAAUUGCUGAAACAGAGACCUAUGAAUGUCUUUCUUUUCUUUGGCUGGAAGCAUUAUUUAAUAAAGAAUGAGAUCAGCUAAAGAUGUAGGAGUUA